rnacentral:rRNA from 1 species
CACGUAGUUAGCCGUGGCUUUCUCGCAAGGUACCGUCACAGCAUGAGCAUUACCUCUCAUACCUGUUCUUCCCUUACAACAGAGUUUUACGAUCCGAAAACCUUCAUCACUCACGCGGCGUUGCUCCAUCAGACUUUCGUCCAUUGUGGAAGAUUCCCUACUGCUGCCUCCCGUAGGAGUCUGGGCCGUGUCUCAGUCCCAGUGUGGCCGAUCACCCUCUCAGGUCGGCUAUGCAUCGUCGCCUUGGUGGGCCAUUACCCCACCAACUAGCUAAUGCACCGCAAGGCCAUCCCAAGGUGACGCCGGAGCGCCUUUCAUCAUCAGACCAUGCGGUCUGAAGAACUAUUCGGUAUUAGCUCCGAUUUCUCGGAGUUAUCCCAAUCCUUGGGGCAGGUUCCUUACGUGUUACUCACCCGUCCGCCGCCCAUUCCCUUCACUUCCCUCCGAAGAGUUCCGUGAGCUUCCUGCGCUCGACUUGCAUGUAUUAGGCACGCCGC